rnacentral:rRNA from 1 species
UACGUAGGUCCCGAGCGUUGUCCGGAUUUAUUGGGCGUAAAGCGAGCGCAGGUGGUUUAUUAAGUCUGGUGUAAAAGGCAGUGGCUCAACCAUUGUAUGCAUUGGAAACUGGUAGACUUGAGUGCAGGAGAGGAGAGCGGGAUUCCAUGUGUAGCGGUGAAAUGCGUAGAUAUAUGGAGGAACACCGGUGGCGAAAGCGGCUCUCUGGCCUGUAACUGACACUGAGGCUCGAAAGCGUGGGGAGCAAACAGG